GCCACAUGGACGAACACUGAUAAGUUACGGAUUUUUUACUCCAAGGAUUCUCUUAUGUCCAACCUUAAAAAGUACUAGCCUUACUCUGUUGAAAACAUUUUAUAUGGGAGAAUGAUUUAAAGCCCCCCUCCAGUACAAUACUGGCAAUUCUUUUUAAAUUCCAGCUUUCUCCAUAAGGUCUGGAAGACAGGUAAAUUAGUUAGACACAUUUUUAAAAAGGGGGGGGAACCCCCCAUUAAAAGUCCCAGUUCAACUCAAGCUAUUAACAUUAAGAAGAGAGUAAUAAAUAGUUUAUGAUGAAUAUUACCCAAAUAUUUGAAAAUGCCUCAAGAGGUCAGUCCUUCUUUAGAGACAUUGAUUGAAGCAAAAUAUAUCUCCAUCUCAAGCCGGUCAGUUUGAAGGGUCUAUGGGUGGCCAAUAUCUUCCCAAUACUGGACUAAGAUGGACCUUUGCUGGAGCAGCACAAUGGUUAUAUUCUUAGAAGACCAUUAUUUCUAACAUCUAAAAAUUAGCUUAUUUCAUCACUAUUUACCACAGGCAAAUUACUGUACAUGAUAAUUAAAAAGUACAUGUUAGAGCAAUGAUUAGCCCAGAAACUGAUUUAGCAUUUUUAUUGUGGUUCAUCUUUUCUCUAUAAAAAAAUAGAGCAUAGUCAUCCUCCUGUAUUUGUUCUCCUUUUUCACAAGGAUCUGCCACCCCCGAAAUUGGAUGAAAAUCUCAUUAGUAAAGCUAUAAUGAAUCUGCAGCAAAGCCCCCUUCAAGGCUGCGUGCUUACGGCCAUUUGCCUGUUGUCUGACUUUUCAUCAGGAACCUGAAAUUACCCAUCAGGAUUGCCAUAAAAGGAAGAUCUUACUGGAUAAAAGAGAGCCUGACAUCAUCUCUCUACAUCAAUAUCUAGACUGGAUCAAAACACAAACUUUUCAAAAAGGAGAGAAUUUCUGCAACAUGUCAGAGAAUCUGUCAGCGCUCGGAAGAGUUCUUUAAAUGUUGUAUUGCAAGUGCUGUUGGAGAACUUGUUUUUAAAACA